AGCAGUGUGGCCUAAUGCAAAGAACACUGAUCUGGAAUUCAGGAAACCUGGGUUCUAAUCCCAGCUCUGCUC
rnacentral:tRNA from 1 species